rnacentral:sRNA from 1 species
CCUGGGUGUGGUGGCGCACACCUGUAAUCCCAGCAGCUUGGGAGGCUGAGGCAGGAGGAGCCACGGGUUCAAAGACAGCCUUAGCGAUUUAGCGAGGCUCUAAGCAACUUAGCAAGACCCUGUGUCUA